rnacentral:tRNA from 1 species
UCCCUGAUGGCUCAGAUGGUAAAGAAUCUGCCUGAAAUGCAGGAGACCUGGGUUUGAUCCCUGGGUUGGGAA